rnacentral:rRNA from 1 species
UACGUAGGGUGCAGGCGUUAAUCGGAAUUACUGGGCGUAAAGCGUGCGCAGGCGGUUUGCUAAGACAGGUGUGAAAUCCCCCGGGCUUAACCUGGGAACUGCGCUUGUAACUGGCAAGCUGGAGUGUGGCAGAGGGGGGUGGAAUUCCACGUGUAGCAGUGAAAUGCGUAGAGAUGUGGAGGAACACCGAUGGCGAAGGCAGCCCCCUGGGCUAACACUGACGCUCAUGCACGAAAGCGUGGGGAGCAAACAGG